GGAGAGAUGCCAGAGCGGUUGAACGGGGCGGUCUCGAAAACCGUUGUACAGGCAACUGUACCGAGGGUUCGAAUCCCUCUCUCUCCG
rnacentral:tRNA from 1 species